rnacentral:misc_RNA from 1 species
CGCACAUUGCGCCCCUCGGUAUUCCGUGGGGCAUGCCUGUUCGAGCGUCAUCUACACCCUCAAGCACUGCUUGGUGUUGGGCGUCUGUCCCGCCUCCGCGCGUGGACUCGCCCCAAAGGCAUUGGCAGCGGUCUCUGGCACCUCAACGCGCAGUACAAUGCGACUGUUAGGGUGCCGUGGGCGCGACCAUAAAGCUAUUUACCGUCUUUGACCUCGGAUCAGGUAGGGAUACCCGCUGAACUUAA